rnacentral:rRNA from 1 species
UACGAAGGGGGCUAGCGUUGCUCGGAAUUACUGGGCGUAAAGCGCGCGCAGGCGGUUUUCCAAGUCAGUGGGGAAAGCCCGGAGCUCAACUCCGGAAUUGCCAUUGAAACUGUUAAACUUGAGGACGAGAGAGGUGAGUGGAAUUCCCAGUGUAGAGGUGAAAUUCGUAGAUAUUGGGAAGAACACCGGUGGCGAAGGCGGCUCACUGGCUCGUUUCUGACGCUCAGGCGCGAUAGCGUGGGGAUCAAACAGG